AGUGAACGCUGGCGGUAGGCCUAACACAUGCAAGUCGAACGGCAGCACAGUAAGAGCUUGCUCUUACGGGUGGCGAGUGGCGGACGGGUGAGGAAUACAUCGGAAUCUACUUUUUCGUGGGGGAUAACGUAGGGAAACUUACGCUAAUACCGCAUACGACCUACGGGUGAAAGCAGGGGAUCUUCGGACCUUGCGCGAUUGAAUGAGCCGAUGUCGGAUUAGCUAGUUGGCGGAGUAAAGGCCCACCAAGGCGACGAUCCGUAGCUGGUCUGAGAGGAUGAUCAGCUACACUGGAACUGAGACACGGUCCAGACUCCUACGGGAGGCAGCAGUGGGGAAUAUUGGACAAUGGGCGCAAGCCUGAUCCAGCCAUACCGCGUGGGUGAAGAAGGCCUUCGGGUUGUAAAGCCCUUUUGUUGGGAAAGAAAAGCAGCAGGUUAAUACCCCGCUGUUCUGACGGUACCCAAAGAAUAAGCACCGGCUAACUUCGUG
rnacentral:rRNA from 1 species